GAUGAACGCUAGCGGCAGGCCUAAUACAUGCAAGUCGAACGAGAUUAAGGAGCUUGCUCCUUAUGAAAGUGGCGCACGGGUGCGUAACGCGUAUGCAACCUACCUUAAUCAGGGGGAUAGCCCGAAGAAAUUCGGAUUAACACCGCAUAAAAACACAGGAUAGCAUUAUCCAAUGUUCAAAUAUUUAUAGGAUUAAGAUGGGCAUGCGUGUCAUUAGCUAGUUGGCGGGGUAACGGCCCACCAAGGCGACGAUGACUAGGGGAUCUGAGAGGAAGACCCCCCACACUGGUACUGAGACCAGGACCAGACUCCUACGGGAGGCAGCAGUAAGGAAUAUNNNUCAAUGGAGGCAANUCUGAACCAGCCAUGCCGCGUGCAGGAAGACUGCCCUANGGGUUGUAAACUGCUUUUAUCCGGGAAUAAACCUAAUUACGNGUANUUAGCUGAAUGUACCGGAAGAAUAAGGAUCGGCUAACUCCGUGCCAGCAGCCGCCGUAAGA
rnacentral:rRNA from 1 species